CUGCUGCCUUCCGUAGGAGUCUGGUCCGUGUCUCAGUACCAGUGUGGGGGACCUUCCUCUCAGAACCCCUACGCAUCGUCGGCUUGGUGGGCCGUUGCCCCACCAACUACCUAAUGCGCCGCAUGCCCAUCCGUGACCGGGGUCGCCCCCUUUGGCCGGCAGGGGAUGUCCCUCCCGGCAUUAUGUUGUAUUAGGCGGGAUUUCUCCCGGUUAUCCAUCCUGUCACGGCCAGGUUGCAUACGUGUUACUCACCCGUGCGCCGGUCGCCGG
rnacentral:rRNA from 1 species